rnacentral:tRNA from 1 species
GGAGAGGUGGCAGAGCUCGGUUUAAUGCACCUGACUUGAAAUCAGACGUAGGGUCACACCGUACCGGGGGUUCGAAUCCCUCCCUCUCCGCCA